GGUGCGCACCGCGUAUGGAACCUACCUUUUACAGGGGGAUAGCCCAGGGAAACUUGGAUUAAUACCCCGUAGUACCUUUUGUAGCAUUGCAAGACGGUUAAAGCCUUCGGGCGGUAAAAGAUGGCCAUGCGUCCCAUUAGCUUGUUGGUAAGGUAACGGCUUACCAAGGCAACGAUGGGUAGGGGCCCUGAGAGGGGGAUCCCCCACACUGGUACUGAGACACGGACCAGACUCCUACGGGAGGCAGCAGUGAGGAAUAUUGGACAAUGGGCGAGAGCCUGAUCCAGCCAUGCCGCGUGCAGGAAGACUGCCCUAUGGGUUGUAAACUGCUUUUAUACAGGAAGAAACCCACCUACGUGUAGGUGGCUGACGGUACUGUAAGAAUAAGCAUCGGCUAACUCCGUGCCAGCAGCCGCGGUAAUACGGAGGAUGCAAGCGUUAUCCGGAAUCAUUGGGUUUAAAGGGUCCGUAGGUGGACAAUUAAGUCAGAGGUGAAAUCCUGCAGCUCAACUGUAGAAUUGCCUUUGAUACUGGUUGUCUUGAAUUAUUGUGAAGUGGUUAGAAUAUGUAGUGUAGCGGUGAAAUGCAUAGAUAUUACAUAGAAUACCAAUUGCGAAGGCAGAUCACUAACAAUAUAUUGACACUGAUGGACGAAAGCGUGGGGAGCGAACGGGAUUAGAUACCCCGGUAGUCCACGCCGUAAACGAUGGUCACUAGCUGUUCGGACUUCGGUCUGAGUGGCUAAGCGAAAGUGAUAAGUGACCCACCUGGGGAGUACGUUCGCAAGAAUGAAACUCAAAGGAAUUGACGGGGGCCCGCACAAGCGGUGGAGCAUGUGGUUUAAUUCGAUGAUACGCGAGGAACCUUACCAGGGCUUAAAU
rnacentral:rRNA from 1 species